AUAUACUUUUAAUAUUUUUGUACCCUUGUACUGUCACCUUGAAGCUAAAAUGGUUGCUACACAUAAACAGCGAUCAAAUCUUCUUUCAAAGCACUCAUUUUACUCGUUUAUGAUAGUGUCUAGUAGAAAACCUAUACAUGGAACGUAUGGAAAAGUUGUGGUGCUCUAAAGAAAUUAUUAAUGGAUUAAAAGUUCGCUAUUCAAGGAGCUCCGGAGAUAAACAAUUGGCGUCGGAUCUAUUCUAAAUCGAGGAGAUGCUGUUUGCGACGCCGUUGGAUUCCCGUUAUGAAGCUUUCAAUAUCCGUUGAUUUUCACGAGCCAGAGGAUGAGUGAGAGAUGAAGGCCAUUAAACACCAUGUGCUCAAGACCUUCAGGGUCGGAGCUACCAAUGGCAAGGAUUAUGAGUCUGAUGGUGGUAAGACAAACUCUAGUUUGUCCCAAUCAGAUCUCAGUCUGAAUGCAGAGGAUAUGAGCUUCAAAUCAAACUCACCAAGAACAGUGGAUACUGCAUCUACUUCAGGUAAGAAUUUAAAAGUUGAUUUUGAGUUGAGAGUUUGUGGUUUCUCCCCAUGGGGAAUUAUAUAUCGUUUAAAAUGAUUGUUACAUGGAAAGAGGAAAAAAAGUGGUCGAACAAAGUCAAUGAACCAAGAACAUGUUUAUCUGCAAUGUACAUGCACAUGAAGUUGCCUGGCUGUCAUCAUGACAAGUUUCCACCACAGUUUUUAUGUUUUUAAAAUGAAUAGACCAUUUUCGUAAUGUAACUAAAAUUUGAUGCGCAAAUGUUUGUUUAGUGUCUUGAUACAA